AAGGAAACUUCGAAUACCAGUAAAGUAUAAUAGGCAGACAGACAAGCUGUGCUAAGGUCGAUUGUCGAAAGGGAAACAGCGCAGCCUGGCCGCUAAGGUCCCAAAGCAUUCUGUGAGUGGGAAAAGAUGUGAUACAACUAUGACAACUAGGAGGUUGGCUUGGAAGCAGCCAUUCUAUCAUGAAAGCGUAAUAGCUCACUAGUCGAGUUGUGUUGCGCUGAAAAUGUAUCGGGGCUGAACAGAAUCACCGAAGCGCCAGUUUUUAAGUAGCGAAGCGUUUUGUGCGCCAAUGAACAUACAUCGUAAGAUUUGUGGAAGGUCUCAAAAGUGACUAUGCUGACAUGAGUAACGAAAAAUCAUGUAAAGCCAUGAUCGCCGUAAGUCCAAGGGUUUCUGCUAACUGGGAAUCAGUGCAGAGUUAAGUUCGGUCCCUAAGAGUUUGUAUACACUUAUACGCUCGAUGGAGGACGUUUAUGCAAGACGGCUAUUAUACACAAAUACUGCAAAUUGGAUACGGUGUAUGUGUGUUGUAGUCCAGGAAAAAAGCAUUAAUGCAAGACCGUACCCGAAACCGACACAGGUGGACGAGUCGAGUAGACUCAGGCGUUGAGUGAACCAUAUUGAAGGAACUCGGCAAAAUAAUCCCGUAACUUAGGAAGAAGGGAUACCGAAAGGUGACACAAAAAUGGGGGUGACGACUUUUUACUAAAAAAUUAGGACUCUGCAAAAUGGUAACAUGCUGUAUAGGGUCUGACGUCUGCCCGGUGCUAGAAGUCUAAAAGGCGCAUUGCAAGAUGCAAAUGGAAAGCCUAGUAAACGGCGGUUGUAACUAUAACAAUCAUAAAGUAGCGAAAUUCAUUGCCAGCUAAUUCCUGGCCUGCAUGAAAGACGUAACGAUUGCCCCACUGUCUCCAGUAUGGACUCAGUGAAAUUGAAUUCUCCGUGCAGAUGCGGAGUACGUGCCCCAAGACGAGAAGACCCUGUGCAUCUUUACUGUACAUUUGCAUUGACAAAACGAUGAGCAUGCGUAGGAUAGGUGGGAGUACAUACAUCCUUGAAAUACCACCCUUGCCAUGGGUUUUGUCUUACACCGAAUUUGGUGCACAAUGCAUGUGAGGCAGUUUGACUGGGGCGGUCGCCUCCUAAAAGGUAACGGAGGCGUGCGAAGGUAAACUCAAUGCAAGACGGAAACUUGCUGAAGAGCGUAAUGGUAUAUGUUUGCCUGACUGUAAGAUGUACACAUCAAACAGAGACGAAAGUCGGCCAUAAUGAUCCACAAGUGCCGUGUGGAAGGGCUUGUGCUUAACGAAUCAAAGAUACGCCAGGGAUAACAGGCUGAUAAUUCCCAAGAGUCCUUAUCGACGGAAUUGUUUGGCACCUCGAUGUUGACUGAUCAUAUCCUGGGGCUGAAGAAGGUCCCAAGGGUUCGGCUGUUCGCCGAAUAAAAUGGUACCUGAGUUGAGUUUAGAACGUCGUGAGACAGUUUGGAUUCUACCUGGGGUGCGCGUAAAAGAAUUGUGAAAACCACGUCCUUGUACGAGAGGACCGGACGUGUACAACCACUGGUCGAGUAAUUGUUUUGCCGAAAGCAUUGUUACCAGGCUACGUUGUGAAAGGAAAAGAACUGAAAGCAUCUCAAGUUCGAAACUUUUUUCGAGACAAAUUCUUUAAGAUGUCGUGAAAGACUAUCACGUUAAUAGCCGAGCUGUCUAUACCAUGAAAAUGAGUAAUGCAUGCUCGGACUAAUCUUUUUUAUUUAAUAAA
rnacentral:rRNA from 1 species